rnacentral:rRNA from 1 species
GACGAACGCUGGCGGCGUGCUUAACACAUGCAAGUCGAACGGAAAGGCCCUGCUUUUGUGGGGUGCUCGAGUGGCGAACGGGUGAGUAACACGUGAGUAACCUGCCCUUGACUUUGGGAUAACUUCAGGAAACUGGGGCUAAUACCGGAUAGGAGCUCCUGCUGCAUGGUGGGGGUUGGAAAGUUUCGGCGGUUGGGGAUGGACUCGCGGCUUAUCAGCUAGUUGGUGGGGUAGUGGCUUACCAAGGCUUUGACGGGUAGCCGGCCUGAGAGGGUGACCGGCCAACUUGGGACUGAGAUACGGCCCAGACUCCUACGGGAGGCAGCAGUGGGGAAGAUUGCACAAUGGGCGGAAGCCUGAUGCAGCAACGCCGCGUGCGGGAUGACGGCCUUCGGGUUGUAAACCGCUUUCGCAUGUGACGAAGCGUGAGUGACGGUAAUGGGUAAAGAAGCACCGGCUAACUACGUG